rnacentral:lncRNA from 1 species
UAAAAGAUAUGGCUCAAUGUAGCCCAAUCACCAACCUUAUAACAUUCUUACUCAAUUCUAUCCUCCACCUCCCACAAAACCAAAUUUUUCAAUACAAAAUCCAUCACAACUCAUCAAUUAUUUCUCAUGACAUUAUGAUUUUCUAAAGCAUCCUUUGCACCCAUUUUUCCAAUUCUUUUCUCUUUUGUUAUCUCUUUUCUUUUCUUUUCUUUCUUUUUUUCUUUUUUUUUCAAGGUAGGGUACUAGGACUUUUCCAUUCAAAAACCGAAUUCACAAUUCAUGAUCACUCAUCUCCACAACCCAAUUAUCUCAUAUCAACAAU